rnacentral:rRNA from 1 species
UUUAUUGGAGAGUUUGAUCCUGGCUCAGGAUGAACGCUGGCGGCGUGCCUAAUACAUGCAAGUCGAGCGAAUGGAUUAAGAGCUUGCUCUUAUGAAGUUAGCGGCGGACGGGUGAGUAACACGUGGGUAACCUGCCCAUAAGACUGGGAUAACUCCGGGAAACCGGGGCUAAUACCGGAUAACAUUUUGAACUGCAUGGUUCGAAAUUGAAAGGCGGCUUCGGCUGUCACUUAUGGAUGGACCCGCGUCGCAUUAGCUAGUUGGUGAGGUAACGGCUCACCAAGGCAACGAUGCGUAGCCGACCUGAGAGGGUGAUCGGCCACACUGGGACUGAGACACGGCCCAGACUCCUACGGGAGGCAGCAGUAGGGAAUCUUCCGC